GGCGACGUCGCCAAGUGGUAAGGCAAGGGUCUGCAAAACCCUCAUUCGGCGGUUCAAAUCCGCCCGUCGCCU
rnacentral:tRNA from 2 species